UCGCGGCCUAUCAGCUUGUUGGUGGGGUGAUGGCCUACCAAGGCGUCGACGGGUAGCCGGCCUGAGAGGGUGACCGGCCACACUGGGACUGAGAUACGGCCCAGACUCCUACGGGAGGCAGCAGUGGGGGAUAUUGCACAAUGGGCGCAAGCCUGAUGCAGCGACGCCGCGUGAGGGAUGACGGCUUUCGGGUUGUAAACCUCUUUCGCUACCGAACAAGGCUCCAUUUUUGUGGGGUUGAGGGUAGGUGGAUAAGAAGCGCCGGCUAACUACGUGCCAGCAGCCGCGGUAAUACGUAGGGCGCGAGCGUUGUCCGGAAUUAUUGGGCGUAAAGAGCUCGUAGGCGGCUUGUCGCGUCUGCUGUGAAAACGCGGGGCUUAACUCCGCGCGUGCAGUGGGUACGGGCAGGCUAGAGUGUGGUAGGGGUGAUUGGAAUUCCUGGUGUAGCGGUGGAAUGCGCAGAUAUCAGGAGGAACACCGAUGGCGAAGGCAGGUCACUGGGCCAUUACUGACGCUGAGGAGCGAAAGCAUGGGGAGCGAACAGGAUUAGAUACCCUGGUAGUCCAUGCCGUAAACGUUGGGCACUAGGUGUGGGGCCUGUUUCCACGGGUUCUGCGCCGUAGCUAACGCAUUAAGUGCCCCGCCUGGGGAGUACGG
rnacentral:rRNA from 1 species